UACGUAGGGGGCUAGCGUUGUCCGGAAUCAUUGGGCGUAAAGCGCGCGUAGGUGGCCUCAUAAGUCCGCUGUGAAAGUCAAAGGCUCAACCUUUGAAAGCCGGUGGAUACUGUGAGGCUAGAGUACGGAAGAGGCGAGUGGAAUUCCUGGUGUAGCGGUGGAAUGCGCAGAUAUCAGGAGGAACACCAAUAGCGAAGGCAGCUCGCUGGGACGUUACUGACACUGAGGCGCGAAAGCAUGGGGAGCGAACAGG
rnacentral:rRNA from 1 species